AUAUUUUGAAAUUGAGAUAAACUUGUCUGUCAAAUUACAUAUAGUAUGCUUUAUUUUAAAAAUCAGAAUAAACUAAUACCUUUAAAAAAUAUGCAUGUACUAAUUUCAGAAUGGUUUAAACUGCCUACCAGAAAGUUUUGGGCUUCACAUUGGCUACAUUGGUUUAAGGUGCUGCUAGAUGGUAAAUGAAACACACAGAAAAAAUAUGCUAUGCUAUCUACUCUAAUAUAGACAACUUUCUCGCCUGUGUGCACCUUAUCAGUUACUACACGAUGUUUAAACUCCUGUUUUCCAAGAGGGGUGUGUAUUUGUGUGUGUAUACUUGUCUGUUUUCCAAGAGGUUACUCACCUCCCCAAUGACCCAAGAAAAUUUUUAAGUAAAACCCCUGAAAUCCUGAUUAGAAAUAUCAACAUCACCAGAGAAGCAUUGAAAGGUUACCACUCUGGGGGACAAAAUGGAGAUUAUAAGCCCCAUUCUUCACCUAGGUGCAGUUUGAGCAGGGCUUGACAGUGGCUGGACCAUCACUAAGUGAGACGUUAAUUCAUCAAGCAUAACUGAAAGUGGAGGCAGUAGAUUAUAUCUUGGUAGCCAGCAUGUGUAGACUUGUCUUAUUUGGAGCCCACUUGGAAUUUUCAUUUCAAGAGUAAGAUACAUUAAUUUUUUUCUACCAUCUGGUUAAUACUUAAUGCAAAAUAGCAAAAGAACAGUUAUGACUUCCCAAUUCAUCAAACAAUUUUUUUUCCGUUUUAUUUGUUGUGGGAAAAUUAAUUUUGAUAUAAGAAAUUUUUAAUCAUUUAAAAUUGUAUGACAAUUAUCUUGGGAAUAUUUAUCAUGGAGUUUUUAAUAUGAGGUUUAUAUUUGUUACCAUUUGAGGUUUUGCCUUUUCAUUGUAUGAUUUUGGCUUACAGACUUGUAUUUUUACUUCAUACUCCAGCUAAAAUGCUAGAUCCAGGUAAGUAUUGUUGAACUUCAAAUGCUGUUAAUGUUGAAGUACAAGUCAUUCUGGGGAGUUGUCUCUAUCUCUAGGUCUCUGGUGCUGCACCUCCUAGACCAGGAAGUAGCUUUGCUCAUUUUGGGUUUGACGAACAACUUAUGCACCAGAUUCGGAAAUCUGAAUACACACAACCCACUCCAAUACAGUGCCAGGGUGUGCCUGUGGCAUUAAGUGGUAGAGACAUGAUUGGUAUUGCCAAAACAGGUAGUGGGAAAACUGCAGCCUUCAUUUGGCCCAUGUUGAUUCAUAUAAUGGACCAGAAGGAGUUGGAACCAGGUGAUGGACCAAUUGCAGUGAUUGUGUGUCCUACCAGGGAGCUUUGCCAGCAGAUCCAUGCAGAAUGUAAGCGGUUUGGAAAAGCAUAUAAUCUUCGAUCAGUGGCCGUAUAUGGAGGAGGGAGUAUGUGGGAGCAGGCCAAGGCCCUUCAGGAGGGGGCAGAGAUUGUUGUGUGUACCCCAGGUCGACUGAUAGAUCAUGUGAAAAAGAAAGCUACCAAUCUUCAAAGAGUCUCUUACCUUGUGUUUGAUGAAGCAGAUCGAAUGUUUGACAUGGGAUUUGAGUACCAGGUUCGAUCCAUAGCAAGUCAUGUUCGUCCUGACAGGCAGACUCUCUUAUUUAGUGCAACUUUUCGGAAAAAGAUUGAAAAGUUGGCCAGAGACAUCCUGAUCGACCCUAUUAGAGUGGUGCAGGGAGAUAUUGGAGAGGCAAAUGAAGAUGUGACACAGAUUGUGGAGAUUCUCCAUUCUGGACCUAGUAAAUGGAACUGGCUUACCCGGCGUCUGGUAGAAUUUACCUCUUCAGGAAGUGUCCUCCUCUUUGUUACUAAAAAAGCCAAUGCUGAAGAGCUAGCGAAUAACCUUAAACAGGAGGGUCAUAAUCUUGGGCUGCUGCAUGGGGAUAUGGAUCAGAGUGAGAGAAACAAGGUCAUUUCAGACUUUAAGAAAAAGGACAUCCCAGUCCUGGUGGCCACAGAUGUUGCAGCCCGUGGUCUGGACAUUCCUUCAAUUAAGACUGUCAUUAACUAUGAUGUGGCACGAGACAUUGAUACCCACACGCAUAGGAUUGGCCGCACAGGAAGAGCGGGUGAGAAAGGUGUGGCCUAUACCCUACUCACUCCCAAGGACAGCAAUUUUGCUGGUGACCUGGUCCGGAACUUGGAAGGAGCCAAUCAACACGUUUCUAAGGAACUCCUAGAUCUGGCAAUGCAGAAUGCCUGGUUUCGGAAAUCUCGAUUCAAAGGAGGAAAAGGAAAAAAGCUGAACAUUGGUGGAGGCGGCCUAGGCUACAGGGAGCGGCCUGGCCUGGGCUCUGAGAACAUGGACCGAGGAAAUAACAAUGUAAUGAGCAAUUAUGAGGCCUACAAGCCUUCCACAGGAGCUAUGGGAGAUCGACUAACGGCAAUGAAAGCAGCUUUCCAGUCACAGUACAAGAGUCACUUUGUUGCAGCCAGUUUAAGUAAUCAGAAGGCUGGAAGCUCUGCUGCUGGGGCAAGUGGGUGGACUAGUGCAGGGAGCUUGAAUUCUGUUCCAACUAACUCAGCACAGCAGGGCCAUAACAGUCCUGACAGCCCCAUCACCAGUGCCACCAAGGGCAUCCCAGGCUUUGGCAAUACUGGCAACAUCAGUGGUGCCCCUGUGACCUACCCGUCUGCCGGAGCCCAAGGAGUCAACAACACGGCUUCCGGGAAUAACAGCCGAGAAGGGACUGGGGGCAGCAACGGGAAGAGAGAGAGAUAUACUGAGAACCGGGGCAGCAGCCGUCACAGUCACGGAGAGACUGGCAAUCGGCAUAGCGAUAGUCCACGUCACGGAGAUGGUGGUCGCCAUGGAGAUGGAUACCGCCAUCCAGAAAGCAGCAGCCGUCAUACUGAUGGCCAUCGGCAUGGGGAGAACAGACAUGGAGGAAGUGCAGGCCGGCAUGGGGAGAACCGGGGUGCAAAUGACGGUCGAAAUGGGGAAAGCAGGAAAGAAGCUUGUAAUCGUGAGAGCAAGAUGGAGCCCAAGAUGGAACCCAAGAUGGAACCCAAAGUGGACAGCAACAAGAUGGACAAGGUGGACAGCAAGACAGAUAAGACAGCUGACGGCUUUGCUGUCCCAGAGCCGCCUAAACGCAAGAAAAGUCGAUGGGACAGUUAGAGGGGAUGUGCUAAAGCGUGAAAUCAGUUGUCCUUAAUUUUUAGAAAGAUUUUGGUAACUAGGUGUCUCAGGGCUGGGUUGGGGUCCAAAGUGUAAGGACCCCCUGCCCUUAGUGGAGAGCUGGAGUUUGGAGACAUUACCCCUUCAUCAGAAGGAAUUUUCGGAUGUUUUCUUGGGAAGCUGUUUUGGUCCUUGGAAGCAGUGAGAGCUGGGAAGCUUCUUUUGGCUCUAGGUGAGUUGUCAUGAGGGUUAAGUUGAGGUUAUCUUGGGAUAAAGGGCCGUCUAGGGCACAAAACUCACUCUACGUUUAUAUUAUACGUAGCUUAUAUUUUUUACUAAGGUGUCACCUUAUAAACAUCUAUAAAUUGACUUCUUUUUCUUAGUUGUAUGGCCAGACAGUCCCCAUUUUAGGAGUUGGCUUCUGCAAACUCAAUCCAUUGAGCUAACUGUUGGGGAGCAAUUUGGUAGUUGUAGACAUUUGCGGAGAAGGGAGAUGUCUGAUUCUAAAUGGGAGCUGAUGCUCAGGUCCCCAGCCAGGUUUGCAUCCAGCCCUGAGACAUGUAGGAAACACCUUUCAGACCCAGGCUCUGAAGAUUCCCAGAAGCCACAAGGAUUGAAGGGAAAAGGUGAUCCUGGUAACUGUUCCAGGAUUGCUCCAGGUUUGAGAUGGUAUUGCUAAAUUUAAAAUUAAACAAAAAACCCAACAACAGCUUUUAAAGUGUCUUCUAUUUCAUUGUAUUUUUUUUAACUUGCCCCAAUGAUAGAAAAGUCUUUUGCUGAAAUGAUUUUGAUGAUUUUUGUUUAUCUUGUUUAU
rnacentral:sRNA from 1 species